AGAGGGGCCAGUGGGAACCAGGGGCAGUAAAUCAGAAUUAAGGCAGUAAUUAAAGGAGGGAGGGGAAGGGAAUAUUUUCUAUGUGGGGGUUUAGAGGGUUUGGCUCCUUCCCUGCUGUGCUGGGCAGGAUGGAGCCCCUGGCUGGCCUGAGGAGCAGCUCAGCAUCACUCCAACAGGCUGUUGGAUGCCCACGGGAGCACCAGGAAGGAGCACAAGCCCAGUUCUCCAGCUGCAGGAGGCUCACCCAGCACCAUUGCCCUUGGCUGGAGUGGCAAGGUGCAGCUGCUGGGGCCAAGCCCUGGGUGGGGACUGGCACUUGGGAAUGGAUGUGCUGCUCUGGGGAACUUCAUCCAGGGGUUCUGCGAUUCCUGCUCCUCGCAGCCUUGCUCUCCUGCCAUCACCAGCUUCCAGUACUGACUGUCCUUCACGUUCCUUCCCUCUGUAAUUCCCCAAGUGCAGCAGUGUUUCCAGUGAGGCUGUUCCACAGCCCCCGUGGGCAGCACCCUGAGCUCUGCUCCCCAGGAUGCCCCAGCUGUGCUGGGGGGCUCUGUGGCUCUGCUCAGGGCUGUGCCCACCCCAGCCCUGCCUCAGCACCCCAGAACCGGGCAUCAGGGUGUUCCAUCAGGAGUGGCUUUGUGACCGUGCUCGAGCUCCUGCUCCCACAGCCCUGAGCUGCUUCUCAUGCUGGGCUCACGGACGUGUCCACGUGCUCUGGCCCUCUUGAGCUGAAAAUUCCAUGGGAACAGAAUGUCCUCACGAUUUUCUGCUGCUCCCUGCUCUCAGUCCUGAUGGCAGCCAGCCUCUCCUGCUGGCUCAGGGACCUGCCUGACCUCUGUCACUGCCCUGGAGUGCCUCUGACAGUGUCUGCACACCCAGGGUGGGCAACGGGCACCUGGGGAAAAGGGAUUUGGGACUGACCCCUGCAUGGCCUGUCUGGAGCUGCUGCCAGGCUGGGCUGGCUCUCCAGGCUGAGCCCUUCCUGCUUCCCUGGUGUUCCCAUGGCUGCUGUGUCCGUGCUCUGGAGGGACUGUCCAGCCUCAGGGGCUGGCUCUGCUCCCUGUCCUGCUGCUGUGUCCCUGAGCUCCCAGCUCUGGAGUGGCUGUCCAGCCUCAGGGGCUGGCUCUGCUCCCUCUCCUGCUGCUCUGUCCCUGAGCUCCCAGCUCAGGAGUGGGCACCACGUGGAUUUUCCAGGUCUGACCUGAGGCAGGCAGUGCCCAGCUGGGGUCAGCACAGACCCCCUCGGCUGCAGUUCUGGCUGUGAUUGCUGACAGGAGAUAUUCCUGAGGACCCCAACACACCACGGACCCACCAUCUCCUCAUAAAGAGAACAGGUUUAUGGAAAAGACCUGGAAUUCACCUCCUGGCCAAAAACCCAUUUUUUUCCCAGCUGUCUCCUGAGGUGUGACCCACACUGGCUGCAGUGAUGGGGCUGCACGGGCUGCUCGAGGCUGUUUUGUGUUGAGCAGCUCCAGAUGGGUUUAAUGACACCUGAAGGGCUGCUCCUGCCUGCCGGAGCACUCCAACCCCACCGAGAACCACAGAAGCCUGAUAUGUGACAAGUUUAAAGGAAUUGUGGGCCUGGGAUUUGCUUGCCAGGGAUCAGUUUAAUUAGGAAUGGCAUUGUGCUGAUUGGAAGCCGUGCUCUGAAGGACUCGCUCACUUUGGUUUGGAUGUUGGAAAUGCCCAGAAUUCCCCAGGAGCUGCGUUUGGAACGAGCCAACCCUGCUGGUGUAACAAGCAGUGCCUUGGCACGGCUGGGGAGCACCUGGAUCCACGGCCUGGGAGGGCUCUUCCCCCUGAAACCCUUCCAAGGCUCCGUGAAGCUGCAGCUGAACCCUCAUCCUGCCUUUCAGGGCAGGAUUUCAGCGAGCUCGAGCUCGCCCUGGGAUGUUUAAGGCAAGGUAGCAGGAGCUGACAGCUCAUUAACAAUGAACGGCAUGGGCUAAGCUGACAUUGCCCAAUGGGCCAUUAAACAAAACUGCUGCCAGCAGCUUUAAACUCGCCUGCCUUAAGUGACUUAUCCAAACUAGGAGCUUGGAUCUCAGGAAUAAAGCAAGUCCUGGAAGAAAGCACUGGAAGAGUUGCAGAUUUUUCCUGAAAUACAGAUUUCCCCGGGGAACUGCUCCUCAGCACAGCCACAGCAACACUUCACAAAGCACAGUUCUGUCACAGGCCCCUAAAGUUCUUUUUUUAUCCAAACAACAAUGCUUUUUCAGGGUGUU